rnacentral:rRNA from 1 species
CUGAGACACGGUCCAAACUCCUACGGAGGGCAGCAGUGAGGAAUAUUGGUCAAUGGGCGCUAGCCUGAACCAGCCAAGUAGCGUGAAGGAUGACUGCCCUAUGGGUUGUAAACUUCUUUUAUAUGGGAAUAAAGUGCAGUAUGUAUACUGCUUUGCAUGUACCUUAUGGAUAAGGAUCGGCUAACUCCGUGCCAGCAGCCGCGGUAAUACGGAGGAUCCGAACGUUAUCCGGAUUUAUUGGGUUUAAAGGGAGCGUAGGCGGGUUGUUAAGUCAGUUGUGAAAGUUUGCGGCUCAACCGUAAAAUUGCAGUUGAUACUGGCAUCCUUGAGUACAGUAGAGGUAGGCGGAAUUCGUGGUGUAGCGGUGAAAUGCUUAGAUAUCACGAAGAACUCCGAUUGCGAAGGCAGCCUGCUGGACUGUAACUGACGCUGAUGCUCGAAAGUGUGGGUAUCAAACAGGAUUAGAUACCCUGGUAGUCCACACAGUAAACGAUGAAUACUCGCUGUUUGCGAUAUACAGUAA